AUUGAACGCUGGCGGCAGGCCUAACACAUGCAAGUCGAGCGAGCGGCGGACGGGUGAGUAAUGUAUGGGGACUGCCCGAUAGAGGGGGAUAAAUACUGGAAACGGUAGCUAAUACCGCAUACUAUCGGAUAACCCAUAUGGGAUUAGCUAGUGGGUGGGGUAAUGGCUAACCUAGGCGACGAUUCCUAUCUGGUCUGCGAGGAUGAUCGGCCACACUGGGACUGAGAACCGGCCCAGACUCCUCCGGGGGAAGCAGUGGGGAAUAUUGCAAAAUGGGCGCAAGCCUUAUGCAGCCAUGCCGCGUGUAUGAAGAAGGCCCUAGGGUUGUAAAGUACUUUCAGUCGGGAGGCGUUACCGACAGAAGAAGCACCGGCUAACUCCGUGCCAGCAGCCGCGGUAAUUC
rnacentral:rRNA from 1 species